GUGAUGAACUCACCGAUGUUGAUCUAUGAUAUGGCCGUCCCAGUCUGA
rnacentral:snoRNA from 1 species